rnacentral:rRNA from 1 species
GUGUCAGCCGCCGCGGUAAUACGUAGGGGGCGAGCGUUGUCCGGAUUUAUUGGGCGUAAAGAGCUCGUAGGCGGUUCGGUAAGUCGGAUGUGAAAUCUCCACGCUCAACGUGGAGGGGCCAUUCGAUACUGCCGUGACUCGAGUCCGGUAGGGGAGUGUGGAAUUCCCGGUGUAGCGGUGAAAUGCGCAGAGAUCGGGAGGAACACCCGUAGCGAAGGCGGCACUCUGGGCCGGUACUGACGCUGAGGAGCGAAAGCGUGGGGAGCGAACAGGAUUAGAAACCCCUGUAGUCC